rfam:Mosquito flavivirus isolate LSFlaviV-A20-09, complete genome
GCCCGCGCAAGGAAGGAUGCGAUGAAAACGCUUGUCCUUGGGAGUUGACGACUCUCCGCCCCCA